GAGGAAUAUUGGUCAAUGGGCGGAAGCCUGAACCAGCCAAGUAGCGUGCAGGAUGACGGCCCUACGGGUUGUAAACUGCUUUUAUGCGGGGAUAAAGUGAGGGACGCGUCCCUUUUUGCAGGUACCGCAUGAAUAAGGACCGGCUAAUUCCGUGCCAGCAGCCGCGGUAAUACGGAAGGUCCGGGCGUUAUCCGGAUUUAUUGGGUUUAAAGGGAGCGUAGGCCGGGGAUUAAGUGUGUUGUGAAAUGUAGGCGCCCAACGUCUGACUUGCAGCGCAUACUGGUUCCCUUGAGUACGCGCAACGCCGGCGGAAUUCGUCGUGUAGCGGUGAAAUGCUUAGAUAUGACGAAGAACCCCGAUUGCGAAGGCAGCCGGCGGGAGCGCAACUGACGCUGAAGCUCGAAGGUGCGGGUAUCGAACAGGAUUAGAUACCCUGGUAGUCCGCACGGUAAACGAUGGAUGCCCGCUGUCGGCGCCUUGCGCCGGCGGCCAAGCGAAAGCGUUAAGCAUCCCACCUGGGGAGUACGCCGGCAACGGUG
rnacentral:rRNA from 1 species